AGCUUUGCGCAGUGGCAGUAUCGUAGCCAAUGAGGUUUAUCCGAGGCGCGAUUAUUGCUAAUUGAAGAAGAAAACUAGACAAUUCACAAAUAUGUGGAGACUAAACAACAUG
rnacentral:snRNA from 1 species